UGGGAUGUUUAUUCAACUUGGUUGAUGGCC
rnacentral:piRNA from 1 species